rnacentral:rRNA from 1 species
GACAGAGGGUGCAAACGUUGCUCGGAAUUACUGGGCGUAAAGCGCGUGUAGGCGGUUACGCGAGUCGGGUGUGAAAGCCCGGGGCUCAACCCCGGACGUGCACUCGAUACUACGUAGCUGGAGUACUGUAGAGGAUGGCGGAAUUCCCGGUGUAGAGGUGAAAUUCGUAGAUAUCGGGAGGAACACCAGUGGCGAAGGCGGCCAUCUGGACAGUGACUGGCGCUGAGACGCGAAAGCGUGGGUAGCAAACAGG